GACGAACGCUGGCGGCGUGCUUAACACAUGCAAGUCGAACGGUAAGGCCCUGCUUUUGUGGGGUGCUCGAGUGGCGAACGGGUGAGUAACACGUGAGUAACCUGCCCUUGACUUUGGUAUAACUUCAGGAAACUGGGGCUAAUACCGGAUAGGAGCUCCUGCUGCAGGGUGGGGGUUGGAAAGUUUCGGCGGUUGGGGAUGGACUCGCGGCUUAUCAGCUUGUUGGUGGGGUAGUGGCUUACCAAGGCUUUGACGGGUAGCCGGCCUGAGAGGGUGACCGGCCACAUUGGGACUGAGAUACGGCCCAGACUCCUACGGGAGGCAGCAGUGGGGAAUAUUGCACAAUGGGCGGAAGCCUGAUGCAGCAACGCCGCGUGCGGGAUGACGGCCUUCGGGUUGUAAACCGCUUUCGCCUGUGACGAAGCGUGAGUGGCGGUAAUGGGUAAAGAAGCACCGGCUAACUACGUG
rnacentral:rRNA from 1 species